ensembl:snRNA Gm25873 predicted gene, 25873
GUGCUCGCUUCGCCAGCACAUAGACUAAAAUUGGAAAGAUACAGAGAAGAUUAGCAUGGCCCCUGGUCAAGGAUGACACGCGAAUUCGUGAAGCAUUCCAUAUUUUU